rnacentral:rRNA from 1 species
GACGAACGCUGGCGGCGUGCUUAAUACAUGCAAGUUGAGCGCUGAAGGUUGGUACUUGUACCAACUGGAUGAGCAGCGAAGGGGGGAGUAACGCGUGGGGAAUCCGCCUUUGAGCGGGGGACAACAUGAGGAAACGAAUGCUAAUACCGCAUAAAAACUUUAAACACAAGUUUUAAGUAAGAAAGAUGCAAUUGCAUCACCCAAAGAUGAUCCCGCGUUGUAUUAGCUAGUUGGUGAGGUAAAGGCUCACCAAGGCGAUGAUACAUAGCCGACCUGAGAGGGUGAUCGGCCACAUUGGGACUGAGACACGGCCCAAACUCCUACGGGAGGCAGCAGUAGGGAAUCUUCGGCAAUGGACGGAAGUCUGACCGAGCAACGCCGCGUGAGUGAAGAAGGUUUUCGGAUCGUAAAGCUCUGUUGGUAGAGAAGAACGUGGGUGAGAGUGGAAAGCUCAUCAAGUGACGGUAACUUCCCAGAAAGGGACGGCUAACUACGUG